CAGUUGCUGCCCAGCUCUGCCCAUGACCCUAGUAUUCCUGACUCCACACACAGAUACUCCCUGCCUCAGCUACCAGCCAAGAAAACAGGAAGCCAGCCAAGCUCCAACCAGGUUGCUGCAUCAAAGCAGCCACAUUAUGGUGCACAUUCCUAAUGCUCUUGUUCUCUGGGAUAGAACAGAUGCACCUGGAAGACUAUGGAAGAAAUCAUUUUCUAGGAAAGAAUUUGUACACUGUGAAAGCCAGUCCCUACCAAGGCCAGCAUGGAACUCAGCAGGCGGUGGACUCCCAGCUCUGCGUGUGCAGGCCAGGCCUCCUGUCUAACCUGUCCAGGCAUCAUCUAUCAUAGUCUCCGCCCCAGGACAGCUGUCACUGUCCCCAGUCAAUUCUGGAAACUCUGUGUGUGUGUGUGUGUGUGUGUGUGUGUGUGUGUGUGUGGUGUGUUGGGGGGAGAAUCCCAUCUGAUCAGGGGCCACCUGCAGCCAUGGCUCUUUCUUGCUACUCUCACCAGUGGCUGGUGCUAAAGACAUUUGAAACUAGAGUAACAAGUAUCGAGUACUAGAGAUGGAACCCUGGAUCUCACAUUUGCUAGGCAAGCUCUCUACAACUUGAGCCACACUCCCAGCUCUUCUGUUGCUAUUUUAUUUUUGUGACAGUGUCUUGCUCACUUUGUCUGGUAUGGCCUCCAACUCCAAUGUGCAAUUCUCCAGUAGUUGAGCCACCACUCCUGGCUCUAACAACAGAUGCUGGAGAGGAUGUGGACAGAAGGGAACCUUACUCCAUUGUUGGUGGGAGUGUAAAC